AGAGUUUGAUCAUGGCUCAGAAUCAACGCUGGCGGCGUGCCUAACACAUGCAAGUCGAGCGAGAAAGUGUAGCAAUACAUGAGUACAGCGGCGCACGGGUGAGUAACACGUGGAUAACCUGCCUCGAAGUGGGGGAUAACACCGGGAAACCGGUGCUAAUACCGCAUAUUCUGACGAGAUCUGCGGAUUUUGUCAGGAAAGGAGCAAUUCGCUACGAGAGGGGUCCGCGGCUGAUUAGCUAGUUGGUGAGGUAACGGCUCACCAAGGCAACGAUCAGUAGCCGGUCUGAGAGGACGGUCGGCCACACUGGAACUGAGACACGGUCCAGACUCCUACGGGAGGCAGCAGUGGGGAAUUUUUGGCAAUGGGCGAAAGCCUGACCAAGCAACGCCGCGUGGAUGAUGAAGUAUCUCGGUACGUAAAAUCCUUUCGACGGGGACGAAACCGCAAGGUUGACGGUACCCGUAGAAGAAGCCCCGGCUAACUCCGUGCCAGCAGCCGCGGUA
rnacentral:rRNA from 1 species